rnacentral:rRNA from 1 species
UACGUAGGUGGCAAGCGUUGUCCGGAUUUAUUGGGCGUAAAGCGAGCGCAGGCGGUUCCUUAAGUCUGAUGUGAAAGCCCACGGCUCAACCGUGGAAGGUCAUUGGAAACUGGGGAACUUGAGUGCAGAAGAGGAGAGUGGAAUUCCAUGUGUAGCGGUGAAAUGCGUAGAUAUAUGGAGAACACCAGUGGCGAAGGCGGCUCUCUGGACUGUAACUGACGCUGAGGCACGAAAGCGUGGGGAGCAAACAGGAUUAGA